AUUGAACGCUGGCGGCAGGCCUAACACAUGCAAGUCGAGCGAGCGGCGGACGGGUGAGGAAUGUAUGGGGACUGCCCGAUAGAGGGGGAUAACUACUGGAAACGGUAGCUAAUACCGCAUACUAUCGGAUAACCUAUAUGGGAUUAGCUAGUAGGUGAGGUAAUGGCCCACCUAGGCGACGAUCCCUAGCUGGUCUGAGAGGAUGAUCAGCCACACUGGGACUGAGAAACGGCCCAGACUCCUACGGAGGCAGCAGUGGGGAAUAUUGGACAAUGGGCGAAAGCCUGAUCCAGCCAUGCCGCGUGUAUGAAGAAGGCCUUAGGAUUGUAAAGUACUUUCAGUCGGGAGGCGUUACCGACAGAAGAAGCACCGGCUAACUACGUGCCAGCAGCCGCGGUAAUUC
rnacentral:rRNA from 1 species